rnacentral:rRNA from 1 species
AAACGUAGGAGGCAAGCGUUAUCCGGAUUUAUUGGGCGUAAAGCGCAUGCAGGUGGUUCCGUAAGUCGGAUGUGAAAGCCUCUGGCUUAACUGGAGGAGGUCGUUCGAUACUGCGGAGCUGGAGGUCGGAAGAGGGAAGCGGAAUUCCCGGUGUAGUGGUGGAAUGCGUAGAUAUCGGGAGGAACACCAGUGGCGAAAGCGGCUUCCUGGUCCGUACCUGACGCUAAGAUGCGAAAGCGUGGGGAGCGAACGGGAUUAGAUACCCCGGUAGUCCACGCUGUAAACGAUGGGUACUGGGUAUUGGUGGUAUUGACCCCAUCAGUGCCGAAGCUAACGCGUUAAGUACCCCGCCUGGGGACUACGGCCGCAAGGUUAAA